rnacentral:lncRNA from 1 species
AUCCUGAUGAGUAUGAGUCAUCCGGUAAAACUCCACUUUAUCGGGUUCCCUCCCAUGCUCAUCCACCUACACAAAUAAUUUUAAUUUUAAGCAAACAGUUAUAACAAUUUAAAAAAAUAUAUGAGUAUCAUGAUACAGACAUGGUCCAUGAUACAUAAUGAUAUUAGUUAUAUAAAUAUUUUAACAUAAAAAUUAGAAGUUAAUUAUGAAAGUUUA